GACGAACGCUGGCGGCGUGCCUAAUACAUGCAAGUAGAACGCUGAAGGAGGAGCUUGCCUCUCUGGAUGAGUUGCGAACGGGUGAGUAACGCGUAGGUAACCUGCCUGGUAGCGGGGGAUAACUAUUGGAAACGAUAGCUAAUACCGCAUAACAGUAGAUAUCGCAUGAUAUCUACUUGAAAGGUGCAAUUGCAUCACUACCAGAUGGACCUGCGUUGUAUUAGCUAGUUGGUGAGGUAACGGCUCACCAAGGCGACGAUACAUAGCCGACCUGAGAGGGUGAUCGGCCACACUGGGACUGAGACACGGCCCAGACUCCUACGGGAGGCAGCAGUAGGGAAUCUUCGGCAAUGGACGGAAGUCUGACCGAGCAACGCCGCGUGAGUGAAGAAGGUUUUCGGAUCGUAAAGCUCUGUUGUAAGAGAAGAACGAGUGUGAGAGUGGAAAGUUCACACUGUGACGGUAUCUUACCAGAAAGGGACGGCUAACUACGUG
rnacentral:rRNA from 1 species